rnacentral:rRNA from 1 species
AGUUGGUGGGGUAAUGGCCUACCAAGCCGAAGACGAGUAACCGGUGUGAGAGCACGAUCGGUCAGAGGGGGACUGAGACACGGCCCCCACUCCUACGGGAGGCAGCAGCAGGGAAUCUUGCGCAAUGGGCGAAAGCCUGACGCAGCGACACCGCGUGGAGGAUGAAUGUCUUAGGAUUGUAAACUCCUUUUAUCAAGGAAGAGAACGGACGGUACUUGAUGAAUAAGGUUCGGCUAACUACGUGCCAGCAGCCGCGGUAAUACGUAGGAACCGAGCGUUGUCCGAAUUUACUGGGCGUAAAGAGCGCGUAGGCGGUCUAUUAAGUCUCAUGUGUAAUCUCCCGGCUCAACUGGGAGGGGUCAUGGGAUACUGGUAGACUUGAAGAUAGCAGAGGAAAGCGGAAUUCCCGGAGUAGUGGUGAAAUGCGUAGAUACCGGGAGGAACACCAGAAGCGAAGGCGGCUUUCUGGGCUAUUCUUGACGCUGAGGCGCGAAAGCGUGGGGAGCGAACCGGAUUAGAUACCCGGGUAGUCCACGCCCUAAACGAUGGAUACUAGAUGUUGGAGGUAUAGACCCCUUCAGUGUCGAAGUUAACGCGAUAAGUAUCCCGCCUGGGGAGUACGGCCGCAAGGCUAAAACUCAAAGGAAUUGACGGGGACCCGCACAAGCAGCGGAGCGUGUGGUUUAAUUCGAUGCAAAGCGAAAAACCUUACCUAGGCUUGACAUGUUUCUGAAAGCCCCCGAAACGGGGCCCUCCUUCGGGACAGAAUCACAGAUGUUGCAUGGCUGUCGUCAGCUCGUGUCGUGAGAUGUUGGGUUAAGUCCCGCAACGAGCGCAACCCCUGUCGUUAGUUACUAUGUCUAACGAGACUGCCCCCAUUGGGGAGAGGAAGGUGGGGACGAGGUCAA